rnacentral:rRNA from 1 species
GGAAGCAGCUUGCUGCUUCGCUGACGAGUGGCGGACGGGUGAGUAAUGUCUGGGAAACUGCCUGAUGGAGGGGGAUAACUACUGGAAACGGUGGCUAAUACCGCAUAACGUCGCAAGACCAAAGAGGGGGACCUUCGGGCCUCUUGCCAUCAGAUGUGCCCAGAUGGGAUUAGCUUGUUGGUGAGGUAACGGCUCACCAAGGCGACGAUCCCUAGCUGGUCUGAGAGGAUGACCAGCCACACUGGAACUGAGACACGGUCCAGACUCCUACGGGAGGCAGCAGUGGGGAAUAUUGCACAAUGGGCGCAAGCCUGAUGCAGCCAUGCCGCGUGUAUGAAGAAGGCCUUCGGGUUGUAAAGUACUUUCAGCGGGGAGGAAGGUGUUGUGGUUAAUAACCGCAGCAAUUGACGUUACCCGCAGAAGAAGCACCGGCUAACUCCGUGCCAGCAGCCGCGGUAAUACGGAGGGUGCAAGCGUUAAUCGGAAUUACUGGGCGUAAAGCGCACGCAGGCGGUCUGUCAAGUCGGAUGUGAAAUCCCCGGGCUCAACCUGGGAACUGCAUUCGAAACUGGCAGGCUUGAGUCUUGUAGAGGGGGGUAGAAUUCCAGGUGUAGCGGUGAAAUGCGUAGAGAUCUGGAGGAAUACCGGUGGCGAAGGCGGCCCCCUGGACAAAGACUGACGCUCAGGUGCGAAAGCGUGGGGAGCAAACAGGAUUAGAUACCCUGGUAGUCCACGCCGUAAACGAUGUCUACUUGGAGGUUGUGCCCUUGAGGCGUGGCUUCCGGAGCUAACGCGUUAAGUAGACCGCCUGGGGAGUACGGCCGCAAGGUUAAAACUCAAAUGAAUUGACGGGGGCCCGCACAAGCGGUGGAGCAUGUGGUUUAAUUCGAUGCAACGCGAAGAACCUUACCUGGUCUUGACAUCCACAGAAGAAUCCAGAGAUGGAUUUGUGCCUUCGGGAACUGUGAGACAGGUGCUGCAUGGCUGUCGUCAGCUCGUGUUGUGAAAUGUUGGGUUAAGUCCCGCAACGAGCGCAACCCUUAUCCUUUGUUGCCAGCGGUUAGGCCGGGAACUCAAAGGAGACUGCCAGUGAUAAACUGGAGGAAGGUGGGGAUGACGUCAAGUCAUCAUGGCCCUUACGACCAGGGCUACACACGUGCUACAAUGGCGCAUACAAAGAGAAGCGACCUCGCGAGAGCAAGCGGACCUCAUAAAGUGCGUCGUAGUCCGGAUUGGAGUCUGCAACUCGACUCCAUGAAGUCGGAAUCGCUAGUAAUCGUGGAUCAGAAUGCCACGGUGAAUACGUUCCCGGGCCUUGUACACACCGCCCGUCACACCAUGGGAGUGGGUUGCAAAAGAAGUAGGUAGCUUAACCUUCGGGAGGGCGCUUACCACUUUGUGAUUCAUGACUGGGGUGAAGUCGUAACAAGGUAACCGUAGGGGAACCUGCGGUUGGAUCACCUCCUUACCUUAAAGAA